rnacentral:rRNA from 1 species
UCAGAGAUGAGCUUGUGCCUUCGGGAACUUAGAGACAGGUGCUGCAUGGCUGUCGUCAGCUCGUGUUGUGAAAUGUUGGGUUAAGUCCCGCAACGAGCGCAACCCUUAUCCUUUGUUGCCAGCGACUAGGUCGGGAACUCAAAGGAGACUGCCAGUGAUAAACUGGAGGAAGGUGGGGAUGACGUCAAGUCAUCAUGGCCCUUACGAGUAGGGCUACACACGUGCUACAAUGGCGUAUACAGAGGGAAGCGAA